rnacentral:rRNA from 1 species
UGCAAGUCGAGCGGUAGCACAGAGAGCUUGCUCUCGGGUGACGAGCGGCGGACGGGUGAGUAAUGUCUGGGAAACUGCCUGAUGGAGGGGGAUAACUACUGGAAACGGUAGCUAAUACCGCAUAACGUCGCAAGACCAAAGUGGGGGACCUUCGGGCCUCAUGCCAUCAGAUGUGCCCAGAUGGGAUUAGCUAGUAGGUGGGGUAAUGGCUCACCUAGGCGACGAUCCCUAGCUGGUCUGAGAGGAUGACCAGCCACACUGGAACUGAGACACGGUCCAGACUCCUACGGGAGGCAGCAGUGGGGAAUAUUGCACAAUGGGCGCAAGCCUGAUGCAGCCAUGCCGCGUGUAUGAAGAAGGCCUUCGGGUUGUAAAGUACUUUCAGCGAGGAGGAAGGCAUUAAGGUUAAUAACCUUGGUGAUUGACGUUACUCGCAGAAGAAGCACCGGCUAACUCCGUGCCAGCAGCCGCGGUAAUACGGAGGGUGCAAGCGUUAAUCGGAAUUACUGGGCGUAAAGCGCACGCAGGCGGUCUGUCAAGUCGGAUGUGAAAUCCCCGGGCUCAACCUGGGAACUGCAUUCGAAACUGGCAGGCUAGAGUCUUGUAGAGGGGGGUAGAAUUCCAGGUGUAGCGGUGAAAUGCGUAGAGAUCUGGAGGAAUACCGGUGGCGAAGGCGGCCCCCUGGACAAAGACUGACGCUCAGGUGCUAAAGCGUGGGGAUUAAACUGGAUUAUAUACCCUGGUAGUCCACGCCGUAAACUAUGUCGACUUGGAGGUUG